rnacentral:lncRNA from 1 species
GUGGAAGGCCAUCAAUGAAUUUAGCUUUCCAAUGGUCAUACUUACUUUCGGGUAAAUCCAUAACCCUACUAAGAAAGGUAUCUUUAUACCAUCUAAAUUCGCCUAAGUGUUUACAUUUUAAACCAUUAAAAAGGGUCCUAAUGUUUUCAUACUGAUUAGUAAAUCUUCCUCCAAAAUGUUCAAUAAUUGUAAGCAUAAGGGUAUAGACAGCAUCUGAAC